CUUGCUCUCCUCCUCCCAUGUCCCCCUCAAAGUGUCUCCCUGAGGCCCCUUUGGCUCCGGCCCAGCAGCUGUGAGGUCCCUUACAGAGCUUAUCACCCCGUGAUUAUCUCCAGCACAGGGGAGCAGGUGUCUGCAGGCGUGGCUCAGCUCCUGCCUCUGAAAGAAAAGGAAAUCUGAGUCUCUGGGAAACCUUGGAGAGAAAGCAGAAAAAAUACCUCCUUUCAAGAGAAGAACCCAAAGGGACCCUUGUUCCACCAGAUUCCUUGACAGCUUCUCUGAAGCGAAGCUCUUUUUAAUAUAUUUUUAAAGAAAGACGAAGCCCCGGAGAAUGGCUGUGGGGGGCAGGUAGCAGUGGGUUCUAAAAGUCUUUCCCUGCUUGAAUCUCCGUUACUGAUUCUUUAUCAUGAAGGGAUUGGCCUCGACAAUCCCAAGUGGACGGUGUAUGGGCCUUGAAUUCUGGAUGCUUAGGUUGGGAAGAUGGAUUGGAAGGCUUCCUGGAGGAGGGCCUCUGUCCUGGGCUGCCCUCUCUACCUCCUGCUGACCAGCCAGCUCCAGCCCAGGUCAUUCAGAGAGACACCACAAAGGCUGCACCUGCAGAUGCCACCCAGGUCCAUCCUCUGGUCCCCUGAUUUCACACAGGAGGCAUCAGCCACGUGCCAGAGGUGGCAGCUCCUCAGAAGUACCGAAACCUCUGGCUUUUGGUGAGUUUUCACUGUGAUGACAUGAGAUCACUUGAGUAGGCGGGAGGGGAGUGGUUAAAAAUGCGGAUCUCGGCCGGGCGCGGUGGCUCACGCCUGUAAUACCAGCACUUUGGGAGGCCCAGGUGGGUGG
rnacentral:lncRNA from 1 species